rnacentral:tRNA from 2 species
GCGCCCAUCGUCUAGCUGGCCAAGGACACCACUUCUUCAAAGUGGCAACCGGGGUUCGAAUCCCUGUGGGCGUGCCA